ACUCCUACGGGAGGCAGCAGUGGGGAAUAUUGGACAAUGGGCGCAAGCCUGAUCCAGCCAUGCCGCGUGAGUGAUGAAGGCCCUAGGGUUGUAAAGCUCUUUCACCGGUGAAGAUAAUGACGGUAACCGGAGAAGAAGCCCCGGCUAACUUCGUGCCAGCAGCCGCGGUAAUACGAAGGGGGCUAGCGUUGUUCGGAUUUACUGGGCGUAAAGCGCACGUAGGCGGACUAUCAAGUCAGGGGUGAAAUCCCGGGGCUCAACCCCGGAACUGCCUUUGAUACUGGUAGUCUUGAGUUCGAGAGAGGUGAGUGGAAUUCCGAGUGUAGAGGUGAAAUUCGUAGAUAUUCGGAGGAACACCAGUGGCGAAGGCGGCUCACUGGCUCGAUACUGACGCUGAGGUGCGAAAGCGUGGGGAGCAAACAGGAUUAGAAACCCUAGUAGUCC
rnacentral:rRNA from 1 species